rnacentral:lncRNA from 1 species
GGCUAAAGUACUUUCAGGGAAGACUUUUUAAUCUUCUUCUGUUUGAAAAACAUAAAAUGAGGUGAUGACUGGCAAAUGAGAGCAAGCCUGUUUAAUAUUAAGAUUAUGACGUAAAUUGACAAAAGCCCCAGCAUUCCAAGUCCUAGUUGCUAGGCACCUUCUCCUUGCUCCCAUCUGAGUAUAAUGAUGUAUUGUCAGCCUUAGCUGAGGUACAAAAGGGUUAUUAGACUUUUGAGUCCAUCUGCUACCCAUGCAAAGGAAAUAGUCAAACUAACACUGCCUGCUCUUUUCCUUGGUUUCUUGCCACCUUAAUUAUAGUUCAUCUGAGUUAUGUGUGUACUUGCUGCCUUGAGUAGAACAUUUUCCAGGACUGUAAGAAAGCAGAGUGAAAGCUCAGAUCAGUGGUCAGCCCUGUUUUCUGCUGGGAUAAACCUUGUGGAAGAUCUCUUCAUGCACAAAGUGACACAGUCAAUUUGAAACUCAUUAAGGUUACUAUACCACAAAAAUUGCUGCUCUAAGAAUAUGCCAAGUGCCUUCAGAAAAGAUGCAGAAAAUGAAGUACAACAAAAUCAAGCUCUUCGGCACAGGCUUCCAGGCACCAAGAGAUUUGGGACUAGCAUACAGAUCCACCACUCCACAAACUUACCUUUAUCACAGUUACAUAUUCAGAAUUUUAUAUUUGUACAUCUUAAUGCACCUUGUUUUGUAGGGCUGAUUGGAGUUAAGACUUUUUUUGCCCUCUGGCGACAUUGUAACUGUGAAAGCAAUGGACGAAUAAAGGAGUCAUUAUUCUCCAGUGUGCUAUGUGGUUGAUUGUAACUUAUACAUUUUCAUUCUCAGAAACA